rnacentral:lncRNA from 1 species
ACGAGAAUAGAUAGGUCUUAGAGCCAUUUGCCUGAGGAAAUAGUGUUCUUGAUAGCUGGAUAAAUAAUGUUCAGAGUUUCUUUCUGAAAGAAUUCAUUAAGCUCCACAUCACAAUGUGAACACAGUAAGGAAAAAAAAUGGGGAAC